rnacentral:rRNA from 1 species
GACGAACGCUGGCGGCGUGCUUACGCAUGCCAGUCGCACGCUGAAGCUUGGUGCUUGCACUGGGUGGAUGAGUGGCGAACGGGUGAGUAAUACGUGAGUAACCUGCCCUUGACUCUGGGAUAAGCCUGGGAAACUGGGUCUAAUACUGGAUACGACAUGUCACCGCAUGGUGGUGUGUGGAAAGGGUUUUACUGGUUUUGGAUGGGCUCACGGCCUAUCAGCUUGUUGGUGGGGUAAUGGCUCACCAAGGCGACGACGGGUAGCCGGCCUGAGAGGGUGACCGGCCACACUGGGACUGAGACACGGCCCAGACUCCUACGGGAGGCAGCAGUGGGGAAUAUUGCACAAUGGGCGGAAGCCUGAUGCAGCGACGCCGCGUGAGGGAUGACGGCCUUCGGGUUGUAAACCUCUUUCAGCACGGAAGAAGCGAAAGUGACGGUACGUGCAGAAGAAGCGCCGGCUAACUACGUG